GAUGAACGCUGGCGGCGUGCCUAAUACAUGCAAGUCGAGCGAAUGGAUUAAGAGCUUGCUCUUAUGAAGUUAGCGGCGGACGGGUGAGUAACACGUGGGUAACCUGCCCAUAAGACUGGGAUAACUCCGGGAAACCGGGGCUAAUACCGGAUAACAUUUUGAACCGCAUGGUUCGAAAUUGAAUGGCGGCUUCGGCUGUCACUUAUGGAUGGACGCGCGUCGCAUUAGCUGGUUGGUGAGGUAACGGCUAACCAAGGCAACGAGGCGUAGCCGACCUGAGAGGGUGGUCGGCCACACUGGGACUGAGACACGGCCCAGACUCCUACGGGAGGCAGCAGUAGGGAAUCUUCCGCAAUGGACGAAAGUCUGACGGAGCAACGCCGCGUGAGUGAUGAAGGCUUUCGGGUCGUAAAACUCUGUUGUUAGGGAAGAACAAGUGCUAGUUGAAUAAGCUGGCACCUUGACGGUACCUAACCAGAAAGCCACGGCUAACUACGUGCCAGCCGCCGCAGUAA
rnacentral:rRNA from 1 species